rfam:Thermosinus carboxydivorans Nor1 ctg29, whole genome shotgun sequence.
CUUGACAAGUAGAAGCCAUCCGCUUCUCACCUUACAACGCAUUAGCAGUUCGUAAGGUUCUGUAAACCCUUGUUUACGCUUUAUUGCGGGUGGUUUAUGCCAUCCGUUUUUUGUUUGGCAG